CGCACACGCGCAUACGCGCGUGUGAAUAGUGGCGUGUUCUGGACCCGAAGCGGAGUGAUCUACCCAUGGCCAGGGUGAAGCGCGGGUAAGACCGCGUGGAGGCCCGAACCCACUUAGGUUGAAGACUGAGGGGAUGAGCUGUGGGUAGGGGUGAAAGGCCAAUCAAACUCCGUGAUAGCUGGUUCUCCCCGAAAUGCAUUUAGGUGCAGCGUUGCGUGGUUCACCGCGGAGGUAGAGCUACUGGAUGGCCGAUGGGCCCUACUAGGUUACUGACGUCAGCCAAACUCCGAAUGCCGUGGUGUAAAGCGUGGCAGUGAGACGGCGGGGGAUAAGCUCCGUACGUCGAAAGGGAAACAGCCCAGAUCGCCGGCUAAGGCCCCCAAGCGUGUGCUAAGUGGGAAAGGAUGUGCAGUCGCAAAGACAACCAGGAGGUUGGCUUAGAAGCAGCCACCCUUGAAAGAGUGCGUAAUAGCUCACUGGUCAAGUGAUUGUGCGCCGAUAAUGUAGCGGGGCUCAAGCACACCGCCGAAGCCGCGGCACAUCCACCUUGUGGUGGGUGUGGGUAGGGGAGCGUCCCUCAUUCAGCGAAGCCACCGGGUGACCGGUGGUGGAGGGUGGGGGAGUGAGAAUGCAGGCAUGAGUAGCGACAAGGCAAGUGAGAACCUUGCCCGCCGAAAGACCAAGGGUUCCUGGGCCAGGCCAGUCCGCCCAGGGUGAGUCGGGACCUAAGGCGAGGCCGACAGGCGUAGUCGAUGGACAACGGGUUGAUAUUCCCGUACCCGUGUGUGGGCGCCCGUGACGAAUCAGCGGUACUAACCACCCAAAACCGGAUCGAUCACUCCCCUUCGGGGGUGUGGAGUUCUGGGGCUGCGUGGGAACUUCGCUGGUAGUAGUCAAGCGAAGGGGUGACGCAGGAAGGUAGCCGUACCAGUCAGUGGUAACACUGGGGCAAGCCGGUAGGGAGAGCGAUAGGCAAAUCCGUCGCUCACUAAUCCUGAGAGGUGACGCAUAGCCGGUUGAGGCGAAUUCGGUGAUCCUCUGCUGCCAAGAAAAGCCUCUAGCGAGCACACACACGGCCCGUACCCCAAACCGACACAGGUGGUCAGGUAGAGCAUACCAAGGCGUACGAGAUAACUAUGGUUAAGGAACUCGGCAAAAUGCCCCCGUAACUUCGGGAGAAGGGGGACCGGAAUAUCGUGAACACCCUUGCGGUGGGAGCGGGAUCCGGUCGCAGAAACCAGUGAGGAGCGACUGUUUACUAAAAACACAGGUCCGUGCGAAGUCGCAAGACGAUGUAUACGGACUGACGCCUGCCCGGUGCUGGAAGGUUAAGAGGACCCGUUAACCCGCAAGGGUGAAGCGGAGAAUUUAAGCCCCAGUAAACGGCGGUGGUAACUAUAACCAUCCUAAGGUAGCGAAAUUCCUUGUCGGGUAAGUUCCGACCUGCACGAAUGGCGUAACGACUUCUCAACUGUCUCAACCAUAGACUCGGCGAAAUUGCACUACGAGUAAAGAUGCUCGUUACGCGCGGCAGGACGAAAAGACCCCGGGACCUUCACUACAACUUGGUAUUGAUGUUCGGUACGGUUUGUGUAGGAUAGGUGGGAGACUGUGAAACCUCGACGCCAGUUGGGGCGGAGUCGUUGUUGAAAUACCACUCUGAUCGUAUUGGGCAUCUAACCUCGAACCCUGAAUCGGGUUUAGGGACAGUGCCUGGCGGGUAGUUUAACUGGGGCGGUUGCCUCCUAAAAUGUAACGGAGGCGCCCAAAGGUUCCCUCAACCUGGACGGCAAUCAGGUGGCGAGUGUAAAUGCACAAGGGAGCUUGACUGCGAGACUUACAAGUCAAGCAGGGACGAAAGUCGGGAUUAGUGAUCCGGCACCCCCGAGUGGAAGGGGUGUCGCUCAACGGAUAAAAGGUACCCCGGGGAUAACAGGCUGAUCUUCCCCAAGAGUCCAUAUCGACGGGAUGGUUUGGCACCUCGAUGUCGGCUCGUCGCAUCCUGGGGCUGGAGCAGGUCCCAAGGGUUGGGCUGUUCGCCCAUUAAAGCGGCACGCGAGCUGGGUUUAGAACGUCGUGAGACAGUUCGGUCUCUAUCCGCCGCGCGCGUCAGAAACUUGAGGAAACCUGUCCCUAGUACGAGAGGACCGGGACGGACGAACCUCUGGUGCACCAGUUGUCCCGCCAGGGGCACCGCUGGAUAGCCACGUUCGGUCAGGAUAACCGCUGAAAGCAUCUAAGCGGGAAACCUUCUCCAAGAUCAGGUUUCUCACCCACUUGGUGGGAUAAGGCCCCCCGCAGAACACGGGUUCAAUAGGUCAGACCUGGAAGCUCAGUAAUGGGUGUAGGGAACUGGUGCUAACCGGCCGAAAACUUACAACA
rnacentral:rRNA from 1 species